UGACUAAAACUUGAAGUCAGACUCUGGCAUGCUUGAAUACCAUAUGCCUGCACUAUUGAGAGACUGGAGCAGAGUAUCUGGAGAAAGAUGAGAGAGUGUGGGUGGCAAUAGAAAAAACAACCACCACUAUAAUUUCUGGAAAUUAUUUCGGCUGAAUGAGUGCAGUGAAGACAUCUCAUGGGAAUAGGAGAGGUCUUGCAGACAAUACCUGACUGACUCUUCAGGCAAAAAAAGCAAGACACACCAAGAAAAUAGAAAUAUGAC